rnacentral:rRNA from 1 species
UACGGAGGAUGCAAGCGUUAUCCGGAAUGAUUGGGCGUAAAGCGUCCGCAGGUGGCAAUGUAAGUCUGCUGUCAAAGCGUCUGGCUCAACCAGAUAAGGGCAGUGGAAACUACAUAGCUAGAGUGAGGUAGGGGUAGAGGGAAUUCCUGGUGUAGCGGUGAAAUGCGCAGAGAUCAGGAAGAACACCGGUGGCGAAAGCGCUCUGCUGGACCUAAACUGACACUGAGGGACGAAAGCUAGGGGAGCGAAUGGG